UUAGCUCAAAGGUUUAAAGUUUGGCAAGAAUAUGCAAUGAUGAGUUGACAUGUAAAGCAAUUUCUUGUUACAGAUUGUUAUAGUUGCAAUAAUCACAAUGAAGCAGACUCAGAUGGAUAUUGAUGUUCUUCAGGCAACUUACUACACGGGUGCCCUGUUCUUUGGACUCAUGAAGCAACUAACUAUGUUUUGUGCACGAGCUGGCAAUUAGCUAUGUUUUGUACACAAGCUAAUGUUGACACUAAGAGCAGAUCAGAAGUAGAAAUCGAUGUUGUUUUUGUCAGAUUCUAGUCAGCAUGUGGACACUGUGCGAUUUCAGGAACUUAUGCUAAGGAUCUAAAGCAGCUGUUAUAAAACUUGAUUUACUUGACACGUUGUUUGAAAACGUGAUCUUUGGAAUUAGUUGGUACAACAAAGAUCAUGAAGGAAAAUACAUUGUAUUGCUCCUCAAAAUUUUAACUAUAUAGAAACCAGAAAAUCAAGUUGAAAGCUUGUUUGCUGGCUACUGCAAGGAACACAUACUCAGGUUGCUGCCAAGAUGCAAACAUUGAGAAAAAUUGCAGACUACAUUGUGUGAAUAUGUAUCUGUAAACCUGCUGGAGUCAGUCAGAGCUGUGGAGCCAUAUUCAUGCCAUAAGGUCUAAUUGAUUCAUUUCUUAGAUACUUUUCCCAAUUGUAUAAUAUACGAUUCUGUUUUUAACUCAUUUCCCUUUAGAGUUAUAAUUCUAGAGU